rnacentral:lncRNA from 1 species
GGAAGCUUAUAAGAUGAGCCAGCUGUUCUUGGGUGGCCAUUUUCAGUUAAGUGACAUGCUAACAUAAAUUAAGCAUAUGUGGUUUGAGAACUGUUUUGUAAAGAACUUCCUUACAAGUGAAUCUAGACUUUUUUUUUUUUUUUUUUUUUGAGAUGGAGUUUCAUUCUUGUUGCCCAGGCUGGAGUGCAAUGGCGUGAUCUCAGCUCAUUGCAACCUCUGCCUCCCAGGUUCAGGUGAUUCUCCUGCCUAAGCCUCCUGAGUAGCUGGGAUUACAGGCACUCGCCACAACGCCCAGUUAAGUUUUGUAUUUUUAGUAGAGACGGGGUUUCACCAUGUUGGCCAGGCUGGUCUCAAACUCCUGACCUCAGGUGAUCCACCCGCCUUGGCCUCUGUAAUUGAUAGAGUUACAGACGUGAGCCACCAAGCCCAGCCCACUAGACAAGUUUUAAGAUCAUGUGCUUCCCAACAUGAAGAGUUCAAAAAUAGACCAGAGGACCAUCAUCCUGGGUGUUGUGGAGGAAAUUCCACACUGAGUGAGUGGUGAAUGCUGCUGACCUGGAAGGUGAUCCUAUGCCAAAAAUGGAUGGUUUUUGGACCAGUCGUCAUGGCAUAAUUACAAUAGGUUUUAUUUCAUCCUUGAAAGUUUCUAUGAAAAUCAUCUUCCUAGAAAUAGAAGAGCUGACAAUAACAAGCCCUAAACCUAAGCUAAGAAACCUGAAUCCUAGUUCUGCCUGUGUCAUUAACUAUGGACCUUGGGUGCAGGCUAUUUCCACCUGCUGAGCUGAGGUGGGA